AUUGGAGGAAAGUAGGGGAUCGCAAGACCUUGCGCUUUUAGAGCGGCCGAUGUCUGAGCUAGUUGGUGAGGUAAAGGCCCAAGGCGUCGAGUAGCUGGUCUGAGAGGACGACCAGCCACACUGGGACUGAGACACGGCCCAGACUCCUACGGGAGGCAGCAGUGGGGAAUUUUGGACAAUGGGCGCAAGCCUGAUCCAGCAAUGCCGCGUGAGUGAAGAAGGCCUUCGGGUUGUAAAGCUCUUGCCGGAACGAAACGGCGGAUACCUGUGACCACUGACGGUACCGGAAGAAGAAGCACCGGCUAGCGUGCCAGCAGCCGCGGUAAUACGUAGGGUGCGAUCACUAGUCGGAAUUCCUGGGCGUAAAGCGGCCGCCUGCAGUUUU
rnacentral:rRNA from 1 species